CCUACGGGAGGCAGCAGUGGGGAAUAUUGGGCAAUGGGCGAAAGCCUGACCCAGCAACGCCGCGUGAAGGAAGAAGGCUUUCGGGUUGUAAACUUCUUUUGUCAGGGACGAAGCAAGUGACGGUACCUGACGAAUAAGCCACGGCUAACUACGUGCCAGCAGCCGCGGUAAUACGGAGGUGGCAAGCGUUAUCCGGAUUUACUGGGUGUAAAGGGCGUGUAGGCGGGACUGCAAGUCAGAUGUGAAAACUCAGGGCUCAACCCUGAGCCUGCAUUUGAAACUGUAGUUCUUGAGUACUGGAGAGGCAGACGGAAUUCCUAGUGUAGCGGUGAAAUGCGUAGAUAUUAGGAGGAACACCAGUGGCGAAGGCGGUCUGCUGGACAGCAACUGACGCUGAGGCGCGAAAGCGUGGGGAGCAAACAGGAUUAGAUACCCCGGUAGUC
rnacentral:rRNA from 1 species